rnacentral:misc_RNA from 1 species
GAAAUGCGAUAAGUAGUGUGAAUUGCAGAAUUCAGUGAAUCAUCGAAUCUUUGAACGCACAUUGCGCUCUCUGGCAUUCCGGAGAGCAUGCCUGUUUGAGUAUUGGUCUCAUGGGUAACCACACUUCGGGAUGAAAUGUAAAUACCUCGUAAUAGAAGUUGAUUCUACGUCAGACAUUAUUCAUGUCAAUCGUUUAAAGUCCUUCAACAAUUACGUGGUUUUAAUGGAUCGAAGCAAAAAAUUC